rnacentral:rRNA from 1 species
CUGGAGGUAUCAGAAGUGCGAAUGCUGACAUAAGUAACGAUAAAGCGGGUGAAAAGCCCGCUCGCCGGAAGACCAAGGGUUCCUGUCCAACGUUAAUCGGGGCAGGGUGAGUCGACCCCUAAGGCGAGGCCGAAAGGCGUAGUCGAUGGGAAACAGGUUAAUAUUCCUGUACUUGGUGUUACUGCGAAGGGGGGACGGAGAAGGCUAUGUUGGCCGGGCGACGGUUGUCCCGGUUUAAGCGUGUAGGCUGGUUUUCCAGGCAAAUCCGGAAAAUCAAGGCUGAGGCGUGAUGACGAGGCACUACGGUGCUGAAGCAACAAAUGCCCUGCUUCCAGGAAAAGCCUCUAAGCAUCAGGUAACAUCAAAUCGUACCCCAAACCGACACAGGUGGUCAGGUAGAGAAUACCAAGGCGCUUGAGAGAACUCGGGUGAAGGAACUAGGCAAAAUGGUGCCGUAACUUCGGGAGAAGGCACGCUGAUAUGUAGGUGAAGUCCCUUGCGGAUGGAGCUGAAAUCAGUCGAAGAUACCAGCUGGCUGCAACUGUUUAUUAAAAACACAGCACUGUGCAAACACGAAAGUGGACGUAUACGGUGUGACGCCUGCCCGGUGCCGGAAGGUUAAUUGAUGGGGUCAGCGCAAGCGAAGCUCUUGAUCGAAGCCCCGGUAAACGGCGGCCGUAACUAUAACGGUCCUAAGGUAGCGAAAUUCCUUGUCGGGUAAGUUCCGACCUGCACGAAUGGCGUAAUGAUGGCCAGGCUGUCUCCACCCGAGACUCAGUGAAAUUGAACUCGCUGUGAAGAUGCAGUGUACCCGCGGCAAGACGGAAAGACCCCGUGAACCUUUACUAUAGCUUGACACUGAACAUUGAGCCUUGAUGUGUAGGAUAGGUGGGAGGCUUGGAAGUGUGGACGCCAGUCUGCAUGGAGCCGACCUUGAAAUACCACCCUUUAAUGUUUGAUGUUCUAACGUUGACCCGUGAUCCGGGUUGCGGACAGUGUCUGGUGGGUAGUUUGACUGGGGCGGUCUCCUCCUAAAGAGUAACGGAGGAGCACGAAGGUUGGCUAAUCCUGGUCGGACAUCAGGAGGUUAGUGCAAUGGCAUAAGCCAGCUUGACUGCGAGCGUGACGGCGCGAGCAGGUGCGAAAGCAGGUCAUAGUGAUCCGGUGGUUCUGAAUGGAAGGGCCAUCGCUCAACGGAUAAAAGGUACUCCGGGGAUAACAGGCUGAUACCGCCCAAGAGUUCAUAUCGACGGCGGUGUUUGGCACCUCGAUGUCGGCUCAUCACAUCCUGGGGCUGAAGUAGGUCCCAAGGGUAUGGCUGUUCGCCAUUUAAAGUGGUACGCGAGCUGGGUUUAGAACGUCGUGAGACAGUUCGGUCCCUAUCUGCCGUGGGCGCUGGAGAACUGAGGGGGGCUGCUCCUAGUACGAGAGGACCGGAGUGGACGCAUCACUGGUGUUCGGGUUGUCAUGCCAAUGGCACUGCCCGGUAGCUAAAUGCGGAAGAGAUAAGUGCUGAAAGCAUCUAAGCACGAAACUUGCCCCGAGAUGAGUUCUCCCUGACUCCUUGAGAGUCCUGAAGGAACGUUGAAGACGACGACGUUGAUAGGCCGGGUGUGUAAGCGCAGCGAUGCGUUGAGCUAACCGGUACUAAUGAACCGUGAGGCUUAACCUUACAACGCCGAAGGUGUUU